UAGACAUGUAGCAAUUGUACCGCUGAAGAUCAAUGUGAAAAUUGAGAGCAAGAAAAUGAAGGAGACACUCCAUGUAAGUUGAGUUUGGUUAAUUAGCCAAAUGGUAUUUCUCUUCCUAUCCAUGAAGAACAACAAAAAAAUCCUUCAAGAUAAAGAAGCAAGCACAACUUGGAUAGUUGAAGAUAUGAGACGCACGUUUUCUU
rnacentral:lncRNA from 1 species